GUCCACUUCUGUGUGGUGGAAGCUUUGUCCUUUGCUUCUUUAUAGCUGCUACUGCUCACUUUUUGGGUCCGUGCCAUUUGUAAGAACUGUAACACUGCCGUCUUUGAGAGCUGUAACACUGGUGGGCGCUUUGGGAGGCUGAGGUAGGUGGAUCAGGAGGUCGAGAGAUUUGCGACCAUCCUGGCUAAUACGGUGAAACCCUGUAGCCACUAAAAAUGCAAAAAGAAAAAAAAAAAGCUGGCGCGGCGUGGUGGUGGGCGCGUGUAGUCCCAGCUGCUCAGGAGGAGGAGGCAGGAGAAUGGCCGGAACGGGGGAGGCGGAGCUUGCAGUGAGCCAAGACCGCGCCACUGCCCUCUGGCGUGAGGAACAGCGGGAGACUCGGUCUCAAAAAGAAAAGAGCUGUAACACUCACCACGAAGGCCCGGCUUCGUUCUUGAAGGCAGCGAGACCACGAACACCCUGGCCGGCAGCAACUGCAGACACAUAAUCACAAGAGGACUUUCCCCAGCUGAUGGGAGAAGAGGCAGGUAGAAGAGAAGGCAGAAGGAGAAAGAGCCCAACCACAAGAAGGAACUGAAGUGCCAUCACUGGUUUGAAGACACAGAGGGCCUCACGUAGAGAAGGACAGUGGCUCUUCACCCCUAGCUGACAACCAGAAAGGAAACAAGCUCCCCAGUCCUACAACUGUAUGGAACGGAACUGUGCCGGCAUCCCGAGUAAGCACGAAAUGGGUUAUUCCUCGAGCCUUCAGAUAAAAACCCAGCCUGGCCCACACCUCAAUAUCAGCUUUGUGAGACCUUGAGCAGAGAAGCCAGUCAAGCCACCUGGACUUCUGACCUCCAGAAUGGUGAGGUGAUC
rnacentral:lncRNA from 1 species